UUCAGCUAAAGCUCGUAGUUGGAUUUGUGGCGUACGGUGGGUUCCGGGCACUUGUUGUCUGAGUAACUUGCUGUUGCCAUCCUUGGGUGGAACCUGUGUGGCAUUAGGUUGUCGUGCAGGGGAUGCCCAUCAUUUACUGUGAAAAAAUUAGAGUGUUCAAAGCAGGCUUAUGCCGUUGAAUAUAUUAGCAUGGAAUAAUAAGAUAGGACUUUUUUGCUAUUUUGUUGGUUUGCGCAAAGAGGUAAUGAUUAAUAGGGACAGUUGGGGGUAUUCGUAUUCCAUUGUCAGAGGUGAAAUUCUUGGAUUUUUGGAAGACGAACUACUGCGAAAGCAUUUACCAAGGAUGUUUUCAUUAAUCAAGAACGAAAGUUAGGGGAUCGAAGAUGAUUAGAUACAUUUCGUAGUACCAACGACAAAUUCUUAGACCGCUCAAAGACGAACUACAGCGAAGGCAUUCUCCAAGGAUACCUUCCUCAAUCAAGAACCAAAGUGUGGAGAUCGAAGAUGAUUAGAUACCAUCGUAGUCA
rnacentral:rRNA from 1 species